ACGUAGGUGGCGAGCGUUAUCCGGAUUUACUGGGCGUAAAGGGCGUGCAGGCGGUUUGUUAAGUGCAGGGUGAAAGCUCCCGGCUCAACUGGGAGAGGUCCUUGCAUACUGGCGAACUCGAGGGAGGCAGAGGAAAGUGGAAUUCCCGGUGUAGUGGUGAUAUGCGUAGAUAUCGGGAGGAACACCUGUGGCGAAGGCGGCUUUCUGGGCCUUACCUGACGCUGAGACGCGAAAGCGUGGGGAGCGAACCGG
rnacentral:rRNA from 1 species